rnacentral:rRNA from 1 species
GCGCACCAGUCGAGAAACCUCCGCAAUGCGGGAAACCGCGACGGGGGACCCCGAGUGCCGUGGCAAUGCUACGGCUUUUCCGGAGUGUAAAAAGCUCCGGGAAUAAGGGCUGGGCAAGGCCGGUGGCAGCCGCCGCGGUAAUACCGGCGGCCCGAGUGGUGGCCGCUAUUAUUGGGCCUAAAGCGUCCGUAGCCGGGCCCGUAAGUCCCUGGCGAAAUCCCACGGCUCAACCGUGGGGCUUGCUGGGGAUACUGCGGGUCUUGGGACCGGGAGAGGCGAGGGGUACCCCCUGGGGUAGGGGUGAAAUCCGUAUAAUCCCCAGGGGGACCGCCAGUGGCGAAGGCGCCCCGCUGGAACGGGUCCGACGGUGAGGGACGAAGGCCAGGGGAGC